rnacentral:lncRNA from 1 species
UCAACCAAUAUAAGAAGGAGAGAGAUGCUCCAUCUAGGCCAAGAUUUUUUUUGGACCAAAUCCUACUUGAUUUAGGUCCAAUCAGGGACCUCAGUCAAGACAGUCUGAGUUGAUCAUUGAGAGAUCAAUUUAGACUUAAUCGAAUCAGAUCUUGGUUAGAUUCUCUCCCUCUUCCUCUCUCUCUCUAUGUCUUUCUUUAUUUUUUUGUUCUUUCUUUCUUUCCUUGUUAAACUUGGGACAGAGCUACCAUGGGGGAGAGAAAGUUAAGUGGGGAAGGAGGGGUGGGAUAGGCCAUGAUGUGGCCAAAGUGGUUGGCGGUGGUGGUGCGGUCAGAGUAUUGGUUGUGAUGGUCGCCCAAUCAUGCACAGGGAGGUCGGA